GAAGGGGAAGGGGGAGGUGCGCUCCCUCUGGGGCCCCGACGCUUUGCCUUCAACCAGCCGGUACUUUUAGUGGAGAAACUGAGACCCUACAGUGGAGGGAUCUUGGCGCAGAUUCACUCAGACCCCGAGGAAAAUGGGAGGGCUGGUGAGAUGGCUCAGUGGGUAAGAGCACCCGACUGCUCUUCCGAAGGUCCAGAGUUCAAAUCCCAGCAACCACAUGGUGGCUCACAAACCAUCCGUAGCGAGAUCUGACUCCCUCUUCUGGAGUGUCUGAAGACAGCUACAAUGUACUUCCAUAUAAUAAAUAAAUAAAUCUUUAAAAAAAAAAAAAAGAAAAA
rnacentral:lncRNA from 1 species